rnacentral:rRNA from 1 species
ACAUGCAAGUCGAACGAUGAAGCCGGAGCUUGCUCUGGUGGAUUAGUGGCGAACGGGUGAGUAACACGUGAGUAACCUGCCCUUGACUCUGGAAUAAGCGUUGGAAACGACGUCUAAUACCGGAUACGAGCUUCCGCCGCAUGGUGAGGAGCUGGAAAGAAUUUCGGUCAAGGAUGGACUCGCGGCCUAUCAGGUAGUUGGUGAGGUAAUGGCUCACCAAGCCUACGACGGGUAGCCGGCCUGAGAGGGUGACCGGCCACACUGGAACUGAGACACGGUCCAGACUCCUACGGGAGGCAGCAGUGGGGAAUAUUGCACAAUGGGCGCAAGCCUGAUGCAGCAACGCCGCGUGAGGGACGACGGCCUUCGGGUUGUAAACCUCUUUUAGUAGGGAAGAAGCGAAAGUGACGGUACCUGCAGAAAAAGCACCGGCUAACUACGUGCCAGCAGCCGCGGUAAUACGUAGGGUGCAAGCGUUAUCCGGAAUUAUUGGGCGUAAAGAGCUCGUAGGCGGUUUGUCGCGUCUGCUGUGAAAACUGGGGGCUCAACCCCCAGCCUGCAGUGGGUACGGGCAGACUAGAGUGCGGUAGGGGAGAUUGGAAUUCCUGGUGUAGCGGUGGAAUGCGCAGAUAUCAGGAGGAACACCGAUGGCGAAGGCAGAUCUCUGGGCCGUAACUGACGCUGAGGAGCGAAAGCAUGGGGAGCGAACAGGAUUAGAUACCCUGGUAGUCCAUGCCGUAAACGUUGGGAACUAGAUGUAGGGGCCAUUCCACGGUUUCUGUGUCGCAGCUAACGCAUUAAGUUCCCCGCCUGGGGAGUACGGGCCGCAAGGCUAAAACUCAAAGGAGUUGACGGGGCCCGCACAAGCGGCGGAGCAUGCGGAUUAUUCGAUGCAACGCGAAGAACAUA